rnacentral:hammerhead_ribozyme from 1 species
AUCCAGCUGAUGAGUCAUAAGUAGGACCAAAUGCGCGUCCUGGAU